rnacentral:rRNA from 1 species
CCUACGGGAGGCAGCAGUGAGGAAUAUUGGUCAAUGGGCGAGAGCCUGAACCAGCCAAGUCGCGUGAGGGAGUACUGCCCUAUGGGUUGUAAACCUCUUUUGUCGGGGAGCAAAAGCCGGACGUGUCCGGCUGUGAGAGUACCCGAAGAAAAAGCAUCGGCUAACUCCGUGCCAGCAGCCGCGGUAAUACGGAGGGAGCAAGCGUUGUCCGGAUUUACUGGGUGUAAAGGGUGCGUAGGCGGCCCUGCAAGUCAGAAGUGAAAUCCAUGGGCUUAACCCGUGAACUGCUUUUGAAACUGGAGGGCUUGAGUGAAGUAGAGGCAGGCGGAAUUCCCGGUGUAGCGGUGAAAUGCGUAGAGAUCGGGAGGAACACCAGUGGCGAAGGCGGCCUGCUGGGCUUUAACUGACGCUGAAGCACGAAAGCGUGGGUAGCAAACAGGAUUAGAUACCCGAGUAGUC